GUCUGUUCAGAGAUAUUCAAUAAAAUUGGAAUUAUACAUAGAAGAUUAGCAUAGACUAUGCACAAGGGUGACACAUAAUUUGAGAAAUGAUCCAAAUUUAA